rnacentral:rRNA from 1 species
GGGUGAGUAACACGUGGGCAACCUGCCCAAAAGAGGGGGAUAACACUUGGAAACAGGUGCUAAUACCGCAUAACCAUAGUUACCGCAUGGUAGCUAUGUAAAAGGUGGCUAUGCUACCGCUUUUGGAUGGGCCCGCGGCGCAUUAGCUAGUUGGUGGGGUAAAGGCUUACCAAGGCAAUGAUGCGUAGCCGAACUGAGAGGUUGAUCGGCCACAUUGGGACUGAGACACGGCCCAAACUCCUACGGGAGGCAGCAGUAGGGAAUCUUCCACAAUGGGCGAAAGCCUGAUGGAGCAACGCCGCGUGGGUGAAGAAGGUCUUCGGAUCGUAAAACCCUGUUGUUAGAGAAGAAAGUGCGUGAGAGUAACUGUUCACGUUUCGACGGUAUCUAACCAGAAAGCCACGGCUAACUACGUGCCAGCAGCCGCGGUAAUACGUAGGUGGCAAGCGUUAUCCGGAUUUAUUGGGCGUAAAGGGAACGCAGGCGGUCUUUUAAGUCUGAUGUGAAAGCCUUCGGCUUAACCGGAGUAGUGCAUUGGAAACUGGGAGACUUGAGUGCAGAAGAGGAGAGUGGAACUCCAUGUGUAGCGGUGAAAUGCGUAGAUAUAUGGAAGAACACCAGUGGCGAAAGCGGCUCUCUGGUCUGUAACUGACGCUGAGGUUCGAAAGCGUGGGUAGCAAACAGGAUUAGAUACCCUGGUAGUCCACGCCGUAAACGAU